rnacentral:rRNA from 1 species
GUCCUAGCCGUAAACGAUGGGCACUAGGCAAGGGAGGUACCUAUGUCCUUCCUUGCCGUAGCUAAUGUGUUAAGUGCCCCGCCUGGGGAGUACGCUCGCAAGGGUAAAACUCAAAGGAAUUGACGGGGGCUCACACAAGCGGUGGAGCAUGUGGUUUAAUUCGAAGCAACGCGAAGAACCUUACCUGGCCUUGACAUGCAGGAAUUAGUUCCGUGAAAGCGGAAUGACAGCUCUUCGGAGUCGGAAUCUGCACAGGUGUUGCAUGGCUGUCGU